rnacentral:rRNA from 1 species
AUUGAACGCUGGCGGCAGGCCUAACACAUGCAAGUCGAGCGGCAGCGGGAAAGUAGCUUGCUACUUUUGCCGGCGAGCGGCGGACGGGUGAGUAAUGCCUGGGAAAUUGCCCAGUCGAGGGGGAUAACAGUUGGAAACGACUGCUAAUACCACAUACGCCCUACGGGGGAAAGCAGGGGACCUUCGGGCCUUGCGCGAUUGGAUCUGCCCAGGUGGGAUUAGCUAGUUGGUGAGGUAAUGGCUCACCAAGGCGACGAUCCCCAGCUGGUCUGAGAGGAUGAUCAGCCACACUGGAACUGAGACACGGUCCAGACUCCUACGGGAGGCAGCAGUGGGGAAUAUUGCACAAUGGGGGAAACCCUGAUGCAGCCAUGCCGCGUGUGUGAAGAAGGCCUUCGGGUUGUAAAGCACUUUCAGCGAGGAGGAAAGGUUGUUGGCUAAUAUCCAACAGCUGUGACGUUACUCGCAGAAGAAGCACCGGCUAACUCCGUGCCAGCCGCCGCAGUAAAAC